rnacentral:rRNA from 1 species
AUUGAACGCUGGCGGCAGGCCUAACACAUGCAAGUCGAGCGGAGCGGCGGACGGGUGAGUAAUGCCUAGGAAUCUGCCUGGUAGUGGGGGAUAACGUCCGGAAACGGGCGCUAAUACCGCAUACUAUCAGAUGAGCCUAGGACGGAUUAGCUCGUUGGUGGGGUAAAGGCCUACCAAGGCGACGAUCCGUAACUGGUCUGAGAGGAUGACCAGCCACACUGGGACUGAGACACGGUCCAGACUCCUACGGGAGGCAGCAGUGGGGAAUAUUGCACAAUGGGCGCAAGCCUGAUGCAGCCAUGCCGCGUGAAUGAAGAAGGCCUUCGGGUUGUAAAGUACGUUCAGCGAGGAGGCGUUACUCGCAGAAGAAGCACCGGCUAACUCCGUGCCAGCAGCCGAGGUAAUAC